AGACCAUUGACACUUCUCUCGAAGAAGGAGACCGCGUCCCCUGCGCUCUCAGAGCCGCAGCCUGGCCAACAAGGAGCUUUGCUCUUGUUGCCCAGGCUGGAGUGCAAUGGCACCCUCUUGGCUCACUGCAACCUCCGCUUCCCGGGUUCAAGCGAUUCUCCUGCCUCAGCCUCCCGAGUAGCUGGGAUUACAGAGUUGUUACUAUUUAAAGGCAGCUGUGGCUUGGCCACGUGAGCAUACUGGGCUGAAAAUGGUAAGCAGGAUUUGUAAUUUCUUCUAAGUCGAGUCGACCCUUUGAUGACUCUGCUCCCCUGGAACUCUGAUAAAGGUAAAAUGUCAACUCAGUUUCCAGGCAAAACAUCUGAUGACCACAUCUGGACCUGGAGGACUAUGAAUGAACUAUAAAUACAUGGUGGGAGCCACCACUUUAGGUUUCCCCCUGUGCGAUGAGUUCUUUUAACUGGACAUACCCUUAACUGGGUAUCAUGUGACUGCUAAGAGAGAUACUAAUCCUAUGUAGAACACGGACUUCUAAGCCAAGCUGGCUAUGACACCCAUCUGCAUGAAUCUCAUUCUCUCCAACUUAAACUGUCAUUUAGGGGAACAGUAAGACCAGUUCUUGGACUGCUUAGAGUAUACCACCAAGGAGAAGAGAACUACCUAAUGCUGCCCUGCGAGCUUGCUGUGUUUCCUGUCUGACAUCCUGCUAAGUGAAUCCAUUGCCAAGAGCAGCUUACUGUAGGCCUGUGUGAGUCUAAAGGCCUAGAUGAACCUAAAAAGAAGCCCUGGUGGGCAUUAUAGAUAAGGUCAGGCCAGAGCUCCUCCACUUUCCUCAAAUGAAGGCUUCUGGACUAAAUGAUCCAGCAACUACCACCGGCUUGACCUCUCUGGAACAAGCUUAGAUUUAACAGAGAACAAACAUCAAUCCAGAGAGAGAAAUCCAAAGGCGGGAUCAGUGUGGCUUACUGUGCCAGUCUUUUCCUCAGAUCUUUGAUUUGGUCAUUCUUCUUGGUAAGAAUCUCUUUCAUGUUUCGAUAAGCUGCUGUUUGCUGAAAUUUCUUUUCUAAUUCCUGCUUAGUAAAAAAUGUCAGCCCAUUACUAAAAAAAUAGUUAAGGAAAGAGAUAACAAAUGCGAUAAAAAUAUGUAGUUUUUUUUGCUUGAAUUUUACUAGUAUUUUGCUAAUGAUUUUCUAAUUUCCUUAAAGGACACAUUUAUAUAAAACUAAGACUAUCCAAACUUUAAAAAUAUAUUCUUUCAAAUGAGAAGCCAUAAAAUAGUAACAUUUUCCCAAGUACAGUGUUGGUAAAUAACUCAAGCCCUGGAUAUGAUAAAUCUAUUUGAAAUAUUAAACUAAUUUUCCUGUAAAAUAAGCACACUUUUUUCCCAAGUCCCAUAGUAGUGUAUUUUAGCAAAAUGAUUUUUAAUUUAGUUAAAUUUUAGCUCCCAUAUUCUUUUUUCCCAUUUUUUAUAUGAAAAAAUUUUUAAUUUUUUUAUAGAGAUGGGGGUCUUGCUAUGUUGGCCAGGCUGGUCUUGAACUCCUGGGCUCAAGCAAUCCUGCCAUCUUGGCCUCCCAAAGUGCUGGGAUUACAGGCACAAGCCACUGCACCCGGCCUCAACUCCCAUAUUCUUAAGAGUCUAAUCCCCAAAGUGAAGAAUCUAGCUCUCUACAUAUUUUAUAUAAAUUAUGACAAAAGUAUAGAAGUCCUUAAAAAAAACAGUCCCUCAUCCCUCUGCAGGCUGUGGGAAGAAGGAGCAGAAGAGCAACAUGGUGGGAUGUAGGGCAGGAUUCAAGCCACCUACAGAGGAGCAUUUCACUACACCAUAGAGGGAGAGGAGAUGUCUUAUUAUCACAGAUAUUUUAGUACCAAAGAUGGAAGAAUAUCAGUGCCCGGAAAUGAUUAAUCUUUAGAACAUAUUGGCUAAUACCUUGAGAAAAAAUAAUCUGAAUUUGCAGUUGUCCAACGUUUAUCUUAGCCACAUGUAUUCCUCUAUACUGUGUGCAUUAAUCAUGCAUUAACAGACAAAUCCCUUAAACAUGGUCUUCUGACCUUUUCAGCCAUGUGCAGCUGCUCCUGAACCCUGAGUAGAUCGUGCUUGGCUGUCGCCAGAUUCUCCUCCAGUGACUUCUGGUUUUCUGUCUUGUCAUUAAGUGUCUUCUGAAACUCACUCUUUAAGGCAGCGACAGUGUUUUCUAAGUUACUUAAGUCUUGGGCCUUUAUAAAAUCCUAUGAAAAAUAAAUGCAUGCAUGUAAUUUCAUGUUGAUAUUCUAAAAAUAACUGUUUUAGAAUGGUGAUUCAACAUCAUAGGAGAUGAAAAAAAUGAUGUAUGUUUUGUGUGCAUGCCAGCCUCCCUUGCCAGCCUAGGUAAGUGCCAGCCCCUUCAGAGUCACCAGCAGGCCAGUCCAUUGUCAGCCCUGGGUACGUGGUGUCUUGCACACAGCCGACACUCAGUAGCCACUGAAUUCCAAAUACAUAAAAUAUGAUUUGUGAACUGCUGGUAUUUCCAUCCAAGAUGUGUGUACCAGGGUUGAGAUGGCAAACAGGUUUCAUUUUGAAAAGCCA
ensembl:lncRNA novel transcript